rnacentral:rRNA from 1 species
UACAGAGGGGGCAAGCGUUGUUCGGAAUUACUGGGCGUAAAGGGCGCGUAGGCGGCCCGCUAAGUCGAACGUGAAAUCCCCGAGCUCAACUCGGGAACUGCGUCCGAUACUGGCGGGCUUGAAUCCGGGAGAGGGAUGCGGAAUUCCAGGUGUAGCGGUGAAAUGCGUAGAUAUCUGGAGGAACACCGGUGGCGAAGGCGGCAUCCUGGACCGGCAUUGACGCUGAGGCGCGAAAGCUAGGGGAGCAAACGGGAUUAGAAACCCCCGUAGUCC